rnacentral:rRNA from 1 species
UUGCCAGCCCGCUCAGAAACUCACAGGAAUUGACGGGGGCCCGCACAAGCGGAGGAGCAUGUGGUUUAAUUCGAUGAUACGCGAGGAACCUUACCUGGGCUCGAACGUAAGAUGACUGUAGGUGAAAGCUUACAUCUCUUCGGAGCAUUUUACGAGGUGCUGCAUGGUUGUCGUCAGCUCGUGCCGUGAGGUGUCGGGUUAAGUCCCAUAACGAGCGCAACCCCUAUCAUUAGUUGCCAUCAGGUCAAGCUGGGGACUCUAAUGAAACUGCCUACGCAAGUAGUGAGGAAGGUGGGGAUGACGUCAAAUCAGCACGGCCCUUACGUCCGGGGCUACACACGUGCUACAAUGGCCGGUACAAAGGGUUGCGAAGCCGUGAGGUGGAGCGAAUCUCAAAAAGCCGGCCUCAGUUCGGAUUGGAGGCUGCAACUCGCCUCCAUGAAGUCGGAAUCGCUAGUAACCGCAGAUCAGCUACGUUGCGGUGAAUACGUUCCCGGGCCUU